rnacentral:lncRNA from 1 species
UUGGACAGAAAGGCUACAGGGUGUGGUCUUGGCUCUUGUGUAAGAAUUCUGACCGUGCUAACCAUUGCUAGGAAGGAAAGGAGUUGUUGUUUUGUAGAAGGUGCUGGGGUUUGAGAGAUCAGUCGGACACGAUUGGCAGGGAAAGCACAUGUGUUUUUAUGAAAAUUAUGCCGAGAUAGUUACCUUCCGCUGUGAGAGUUACCUAAAGCUCGGCAUCCGUGAUGGUCUACGGGGCUUCCGAGGCGAUCAGGCAGCAUCAUUUAGGGUCUAGGGCUGUAAAGCAUCUCAGGGUUGCUGCCGAAGGAGCCAUGAACUGGGCUGGGUUUUUAUAUUUGAUAAAAAAGAGCCUAAAUGCUUCUGAUUUGGGAUAAAGAAAAAGGAGCAUUAACCUUGACUAUGCCUGUGGCUCCAGCCACCUUUUUAAGAGUAAAUUGCUGGGCAGGUGGGGGAGGGCUAGUCACAGAAUGAACAGGACUUGCCGCUAAGGGUGAAGGAGAAGGGGUUGAGGGGUACUUCCCCUCCUCCAGAAAAGCAGAGAAGGGGUAGAGACAAGGAGAGAAGGGGUUGGGGUACUUGCCCCUUCCCCAGAAAAGCGGGACUUGCUGCUAAAGGUGAAGGACCAAGGCAGGCGUCCCUGCGUGGUCUGACACCUUUGAAACGUGAGUGAAUAAUCAGAGAGGUGUCCCUGCAAUGAUUAAACACCAAGGGAAGGCUGCCUUCCCAUUCCAUAACCGGUGCUGGAGUUUUGGGUCCACGGAUAAAACUUGUCUCCUUUGUCUCUACCAGAAAAUGAAAGGAAUUGAAAUUAAGAGACGGGAGAGAUUGAAGUGUGGCACCAAGAUUGAAAGGAGAAAGAGGUUGAGGGAUAGUGAGGGAAGCCGGAGAAGAGAAUGAAAAGAGGCCGCUUACUGGAUUUGAAAUUGGUGAGAUGUUUCUUGGGCUGGUCGGUCUGAGGACCUGAGGUCGUAGGUGGAUCUUUCUCACGGAGCAAAGAGCAGGAGGACAGGGGAUUGAUCUCCGAAGGGAGGUCCCCCAGUCUGAGUCACGGCACCAAAUUUCAUGCACGUCCAUGUGAAGAGACCACCAAACAGGCUUUGUGUGAGCAACAUGGCUGUUUAUUUCACCUGGGUGCAGGCAGGCUGAGUCUGAAAAGAGAGUCAGUGAAGGGAGAUAAGGGUAGGGCCGUUUCAUAGGAUUUCGGUAGGUAAAGGAAAAUUACAGUCAGAAGGGGUUUGUUCUCUGGCGAGCAGGAGUGGGGGUCGCAAGGUGCUCAGUGGGGGUGCUUUUUGAGCCAGGAUGAGCCAGGAAAAGGACUAAAGUCACUUAAUC